GAUGAAGAACGUAGCGAAAUGCGAUACGUAAUGUGAAUUGCAGAAUUCAGUGAAUCAUCGAAUCUUUGAACGCAUAUUGCGCUCUCUGGUAUUCCGGAGAGCAUGCUUGUUUGAGUAUCAGUAAACACCUCAACUCCCUUUCUUUUUGAAAUGGAGCUGGACUUGAGUGAUCCCAACGCUUUAUUUAUACAGUGGCGGGUUACUUGAAAUGCAGGUGCAGCUGAACUUUUCUCUGAGCUAUAAGCAUAUCUAUUUAGUCUGCCUCAAAACAGAUUAUUACCUUUGCUGCAGCUAACAUAAAGGAGAUUAGUUCUUGUGCUGACUGAUGCAGGAUUCACAAAGACCGCUUCGGCUGUCUUUGUAAACUCGAUCUCAAAUCAAGUAAGACUACCCGCUGAACUUAAGCAUAUCAAUAAGCGGAGGA
rnacentral:misc_RNA from 1 species